GGCUCGCUGGUGUAGUUGGGUAAGUUCAAUCAUCUAGCCUUGUUCGAAUUUCAUCUAACAGUCGCAGUUAUCACGUUCGCCUCACAUCCAAUGAUCGCGAAAGGUCGCGAGUUCGAACCUCGCGUGAGUCA
rnacentral:tRNA from 1 species